UACAGAGGUCUCAAGCGUUGUCCGGAUUUAUUGGGCGUAAAGAGCGUGUAGGCGGUUUGGUAGGUCCGCUGUGAAAACUCGAGGCUCAACCUCGAGACGCCGGUGGAAACCAUCAGGCUAGAGUCCGGAAGAGGAGAGUGGAAUUCCUGGUGUAGCGGUGAAAUGCGCAGAUAUCAGGAAGAACACCCGUGGCGAAGGCGGCUCUCUGGGACGGUACUGACGCUGAGACGCGAAAGCGUGGGGAGCGAACAGG
rnacentral:rRNA from 1 species